CGGCGGCGGUAGUGGUUCCUCCUCCGCUGUUUCAGUUUCCUCCGCCCCCUCCUCCCGUCGGACGCGGCUGUGUGCUCGCCUUAAACAAAAAAAAAAAAAAAAAAAAAAAAAAACGAAAAAAGAAAAAAGAAAAAAGAAAAAAAAAAGAUCAACUUUAUUGUUCCUCAGCCCCACCUCCCGGCGCGGCGCGCGGCCUCAGGAUGCACUGAGGUUGCGGGGAGGUGGAGGGGAGGGAGGCGGCGGCGGCGGGUCGCGGUCCCUCUCCGAGCGCCCGGCCGGAGGUGGGGGAGGCACGAUGUCUGGGAGCCGCCAGGCCGGGUCGGGCUCCGCCGGGACCAGCCCCGGCUCCUCGGCGGCCUCCUCGGUGACUUCCGCCUCCUCGUCCUUGUCCUCCUCCCCGUCGCCCCCUUCGGCGGCGGCGGCGGCGGCGGCGGCGGCGGCGUCCGGCGGGGCGGCCCAGGCCGCGGGGCCGGGCGGCCUCGGGGGCCCGGCGGCGCGGCCUGUGCUGGUGGCGGCCGCCGUGUCGGGCAGCGGCGGCGGGGCGGUGUCCGCGGGCCAGUCUCGGCUCAGCUGCGCGGCCAGGCCCAGCGCCGGCGUGGGAGGGAGCAGCUCCGGCCUCGGCAGCGGCAGCCGGAAGAGACCUCUGCUCGCCCCCCUGUGCAACGGGCUCAUCAACUCCUACGAGGACAAAAGCAACGACUUCGUGUGCCCUAUCUGCUUUGAUAUGAUUGAGGAAGCAUACAUGACGAAAUGUGGCCACAGCUUUUGCUACAAGUGUAUUCAUCAGAGUUUGGAGGAUAAUAAUAGAUGUCCCAAGUGUAACUAUGUUGUGGAUAAUAUUGACCAUCUGUAUCCUAAUUUCUUGGUGAAUGAGCUUAUUCUCAAACAGAAGCAAAGAUUUGAGGAAAAGAGGUUCAAAUUAGACCACUCAGUGAGUAGCACCAAUGGCCACAGGUGGCAAAUAUUACAGGAUUUGUUGGGAACUGACCAAGAUAACCUUGAUUUGGCCAAUGUCAACCUCAUGUUGGAAUUACUAGUGCAGAAGAAGAAACAACUGGAAGCAGAAUCACAUGCAGCCCAACUACAGAUCCUUAUGGAAUUCCUCAAGGUUGCAAGAAGAAAUAAGAGAGAGCAACUGGAACAGAUCCAGAAGGAGCUGAGUGUUUUGGAAGAGGAUAUUAAAAGAGUGGAAGAAAUGAGUGGCUUGUAUUCUCCUGUCAGUGAGGAUAGCACGGUGCCUCAAUUUGAAGCUCCUUCUCCAUCACACAGUAAUAUUAUUGAUUCCACAGAAUACAGCCAACCUCCUGGUUUCAGUGGCAGUUCUCAGACAAAGAAGCAGCCAUGGUAUAACAGCACAUUAGCAUCACGAAGAAAACGACUCACUGCUCAUUUUGAAGACUUAGAGCAAUGUUACUUUUCUACAAGGAUGUCUCGUAUUUCAGAUGAUAGUCGAACUGCAAGCCAGUUGGAUGAAUUUCAGGAAUGCUUGUCCAAGUUUACUCGGUAUAAUUCAGUACGACCUUUGGCUACAUUGUCAUAUGCUAGUGAUCUCUAUAAUGGUUCCAGCAUAGUCUCUAGUAUUGAAUUUGACCGAGAUUGUGACUAUUUUGCAAUUGCUGGGGUUACAAAGAAGAUUAAAGUCUAUGAAUAUGGCACAGUCAUUCAGGAUGCGGUGGAUAUUCAUUACCCUGAAAAUGAAAUGACCUGCAAUUCCAAAAUCAGCUGUAUCAGUUGGAGUAGUUACCAUAAGAAUCUGUUAGCCAGCAGUGAUUAUGAAGGCACUGUCAUCCUAUGGGAUGGAUUCACAGGACAGAGGUCAAAGGUCUAUCAGGAACACGAGAAAAGGUGUUGGAGUGUUGACUUUAACUUGAUGGAUCCUAAACUCUUGGCAUCAGGUUCUGAUGAUGCAAAAGUGAAGCUAUGGUCUACCAACCUAGACAACUCAGUGGCAAGCAUUGAGGCGAAGGCUAAUGUAUGCUGUGUUAAAUUCAGCCCUUCUUCUAGAUACCAUUUGGCUUUUGGCUGUGCAGAUCACUGUGUCCACUACUAUGAUCUUCGUAACACUAAACAGCCAAUCAUGGUAUUCAAGGGACACCGAAAAGCAGUCUCUUAUGCAAAGUUUGUGAGUGGUGAGGAAAUUGUCUCUGCCUCAACAGACAGCCAGCUAAAGCUAUGGAACGUAGGGAAACCAUACUGUCUACGUUCCUUCAAGGGUCACAUCAAUGAAAAAAACUUUGUAGGCCUCGCUUCCAACGGCGAUUAUAUAGCUUGUGGAAGUGAGAACAACUCUCUUUACUUAUACUAUAAAGGACUUUCUAAGACUUUGCUAACUUUUAAGUUUGAUACGGUCAAAAGUGUUCUGGAUAAAGACCGAAAAGAAGAUGAUACAAAUGAAUUUGUUAGUGCCGUGUGCUGGAGGGCAUUGCCAGAUGGGUUUGUGUUGUAGAGAACAGACUAGGUGUCAAGAACGGAAGCAGGAAGACUAUUACAAUAAUCCAGGAGUCCAAUGUGCUGAUUGCUGCUAACAGUCAGGGUACAAUUAAGGUGCUGGAGUUGGUAUGAAGGGUUUACUCAAGUUAAAUUGUAUUUGAUCCUGCUGAAAUACAUCUGCAGCUGACAAUGAGAGAAGAUAGAAACUCAUGUGAUGUCUCUCCCCAAAGUCACCAUGGGUUUUGGAUUUGUUUUGAGUAUUUUUUCUUUUCUUUUUCUUUUCUCCUUCACGACUUUUGGGACAUUGGGAAUACCCAGUGAACUCUCCACCAUCAAUGUAACUCUGUGGACUUUGCUGCUGUUGGUGGUGCAGUUAUCUAAUUUUUGUGAUAGGGAAACAAAUUCUUUUGAAUAAAAAUAAAUAACAAAAAAUAAAAGUUUAUUGAGCCACAGUUGAGCCGGGAAAAUCUUUGUGAAAGAUGGCAAGAGGGUAAUCUUUUCAAGAAGUAAUGCACAUAAACUCUGAAUAAUUUGUAAGGUCCAUAUUUUCCACCCUCUUUGGAAUUCUUCAUAUCAACAUAAAUGUAAAGUAUAUGGAUUUCUUCCAGUGAAUUUAAUAUUUAUAGUAGGUGGGAAGGUUAAUAACUUUACCUUAUGAAUUCCUUUCUUCAUUCUCUGACCAGAUUUAUAUCAUCAGCAAGUACCAUACUUCAUUCCAUCUGGACCUGGCGAAGAAUCUAAAAUUUUGACCAGUUGAGACCACAUUCAAACAGAAAGGGAAUGGGGCACCUGGCUGGCUUAGUCAGUAGAGCACAUAACUCUUGAUCUUAGGGUCACGAGUUCGAGCCCCACAUUGGGUGCAGAAAUGAUGUUAAUAAUUAAUUAACUUUAAAAAGGGGGGAAUGUCAGUCUGUGGCAGCUAUCGUCUUUGCCUUUUAAAAGUUAUCUAUACAUAAUGUAAGCCCUAAAUGCAGACAAACCACCUUCAUUUUGUAAAAUCAUAGCUAUCAGAUAGUCAUAGAUAUUAGUAGCAACCUCAGCUGAACAGUGUGAGCAGGGGUUAGCAGACUUGCCGGAAAGGAGGCCAGAUAGAAAAUAUUUUAGGCUUUGGAGAUCAUGUGGUCUCUUCCAUAAUUACACAACUCUGCCAGUGUAGCAGGAAAGCAUCCAUAGACCUAGCAGGAAAAGAAUUUGAAGCCUCAUUUCCCAAAUUACCAAGCCAUAUAAUAUCUUAGACUGUCUAGUCAAUUUUAUGUUAUUUUCAGUUUGUAAAAAGGGAGAAGUUCGUAGUUUGAGUAGCAGGUCAAUCAAAAGUAGUUUGAAGCUUUCUGUUUGAGCUACUUUAAAAGUGUGAACACUUUUUGAAAAAGAUAAAAACAGAAUUAUACCCCACGCAUAUUUUAUAAAAACAGACAUUUGGGAAAAGUUUGGUAUGAAAAAAUAUGUGAAUGGUAAGGGUAAUUGGAACAUCCCACUGUAUCCCUCUACACUCAAAAUUAUUAGGGUCACAUUUCAUCAUCUGAAACCUUUGGGUCAAAUGCAUUCUGGAAAUUAGAACUUCUUGAAUUUUAGAAAAGUAAUAGAGUACACAUACUAUAUAUAACAUAACACCGUUCAACAGAGUCUGGAGCGAUACUCUAUUAUCAAAUACAUUAAUAUCUCUGUAGCAAAAUGUAUGAAUGUUAACAUUAUAUGAGAUUAAUAAAGGUUAAAAAUAGUCUUGUACCAAUUCAGAUCGUUUUUACCACUGAAUAAGUUAGCCUCAAACUUAGGUGAAGUUUUCAGUUUCAGAGCUUUAAGACAGUUAUAUCUUACUAAUUUGGGGGAGUUAAACACCUGUAAACUUUUGGGCUCAAUUUUGAGAGCAAAGGUCACUAUCAUUCAAAAGUUACACCUGUCAACCAGAAUAGUGGUAAGCAUCCUUUAUUUCUAAUAUGAUGAAUGACCUUUUGCAAAGAUGAAGAAAGAAUAUUCAAAUGUAGAUUCUUCACUUAAAAGAAUUUAAGUGGAUAUGUCCAGAAAAAUCAUCAAAUGGGAAGCAAAGAAUUAAUGCCUCUUUGAAUGCAUUUAAAUAAAGGAUUCUUAAGAUUUUUAA